AGUGAACGCUGGCGGUAGGCCUAACACAUGCAAGUCGAACGGCAGCACAGAGGAGCUUGCUCCUUGGGUGGCGAGUGGCGGACGGGUGAGGAAUACAUCGGAAUCUACUCUGUCGUGGGGGAUAACGUAGGGAAACUUACGCUAAUACCGCAUACGACCUACGGGCGAAAGCAGGGGAUCUUCGGACCUUGCGCGAUUGAAUGAGCCGAUGUCGGAUUAGCUAGUUGGCGGGGUAAAGGCCCACCAAGGCGACGAUCCGUAGCUGGUCUGAGAGGAUGAUCAGCCACACUGGAACUGAGACACGGUCCAGACUCCUACGGGAGGCAGCAGUGGGGAAUAUUGGACAAUGGGCGCAAGCCUGAUCCAGCCAUACCGCGUGGGUGAGGAAGGCCUUCGGGUUGUAAAGCCCUUUUGUUGGGAAAGAAAUCCAUCUGGUUAAUACCCGGGUGGGAUGACGGUACCCAAAGAAUAAGCACCGGCUAACUUCGUGCCAGCAGCCGCCGUAA
rnacentral:rRNA from 1 species